CCUACGGGGGGCAGCAGUGGGGAAUAUUUGGCAAUGGGCGCAAGCCUGACCCAGCAACGCCGCGUGAAGGAAGAAGGCUCUCGGGUUGUAAACUCCCUUUGUUAGGGAAGAGUAGAAGACGGUACCUGACGAAUAAGCCAGGGCAAACUACGUGCCAGCAGCCGCGGUCAGACGUAGGUGGCAAGCGUUGUCCGGAUUUACUGGGUGUAAAGGGCGUGUAGCCGGGUUGACAAGUCAGAUGUGAAAUCCUGCGGCUUAACCGCAGAACUGCAUUUGAAACUGUUGAUCUUGAGUACUGGAGAGGCAGACGGAAUUCCUAGUGUAGCGGUGAAAUGCGUAGAUAUUAGGAGGAACACCAGUGGCGAAGGCGGGCUGCUGGACAGCAACUGACGGUGAGGCGCGAAAGCGUGGGGAGCGAACAGGAUUAGAUACCCCAGUAGUC
rnacentral:rRNA from 1 species